UUUUAGGAAUUGAAUUCCGCCUGUCUUUCUUGUCAAUGACAUUCUCAAAGUACAUAGAUGAUGGAGUGUUCUGUUUCAUUCCGGGAAAAGUACUAGAUGAAUGCUACAGACUGCUCAGGGAAAUUGUGGUGCACAAAAAUCUUUCGUGCACUAAGUCAUACGAACACUACAUACUUAAUUGUACACAUAUAACACUACCAUACUUAAUUGCCGAACCAAAAUUAAUACAGGUCAAAAACAAUAAUAGGUUAGUCACAAUUUUGUGGUUACUAUUGAUCUUGCUAGGCGGACAUGCUUUAUUUAUUCUGAACAUGAUUUUUUCUACAAAUAUUGCAUUGACAGACAAAAAAAGCUACGGGAAUAUAAUCAAGGCCAUGGGUAAUCUUCAGAAUUUUUGCUGCAACUUUGGGGAAGGAAGUCACACGAAAAGAUUCAGGGCACAUACCAGCAUGUGUUGUAUUUUUCUAGAUGUUUUACUGGAGCAGUAGAUUCAACAUGACUGUUUGAUGCCAAAGUUAGUUGGAACUCUAACUCUAACACCGAUAACUGUUGCUGAUGCUGCCUUACAGCCACAGGCAGGAAAAUUGUUCUUUUCUUCAGAAAAUUGUGGCUUAAAUGGAUUGUCCCCCAGCCACCAGGUGACGCGAGUGUCUUCGUGAGGAUGAAAUAUUUGCCAUUUUUUCCCGAGACGCUGACUGAAAGUGUAUUCCAAAUUCAUUACGGAAUUGCGGUGUCGAUCUACAUUUUCAGCCAUGAAAUGGCUAUCUGGGAUAUAAUUUCACUUGGCCAAAUAAUGUGACGACUUGGGUCGAAACUGCUGUCCAAUGUCGGCCAUUGUUAGCUGUACGUCUUGGCUGUACGUCUCAUCUUGUGCAGAAACACUUCAGACCUAUUGAUGUUAAGGUUGGAGAUAGAGAUCCCUUUGCUCAACUGUUGCAGAAAUUGAGAACACGACAAAGUCUGAGCUUCAUGACUGUUGUAUCAUCAACAUGGUUUUGUUACAGCCAGCUGGGGAAAGAUGUGAUCGAGUCAAGUUGAGCUGCAGCUGCUGCAUGCAGUUUAUCGAGCUGGUGUUAUCCCAAGUGUCACUGCAGGAAGACUCAUUGAAUUGGAGUUAAUGGUCAAUUUGAUGUUUGAGCUGUUUAUGGUGUGGCUGUUUGGUGUACAGUGGUUUUGCAGCCCCCUUCCAGAUGAGAGAUGCUCUGAAAUGGAGUUUGGUGCAGACUUGCAGGUCAACAUCACACUUAAAUCGACUUAAAUGUGUAUUUGCCUAUGUUGGUGUCCAUGCAGUAUAUGCAGUGUUGAACGGUUGGGUAAAAUAGUUCAUGCUGCCUGAUGGCUGUCCAACAGUGACGGCCCGGACAAUCCUGAAUCCUUUAGGGUUGCCAUUCCAUCGAGGCUUAAACGAGGAUGAAGCGGAGGUGUUGCCCAUUGAGGGGUUUUGGUGACAAGGAGUCACUGAACGAAGCGCUAAACCAAAUGAAAAAAAAAAUAAUAAAAAAGACCCAUCCCCGGCAAAGUCA